AGUUUCGUGAUGUAGUUGGUUAUUACAUGAGUCUAAUGCACUGGUGGUCUCCGGUUCGAGCCCGGCCAAAAUCA